CUCUCGUAGGCCCUGUAGUUUGUGCCUUUGUGCAGUGCGCUCGUGUCAUUGAACCCGUGUAGUGCGAAUCAAAAUGACCACAUCGAGUACGCCGACCUAUGCCUACGUCAAGUACCACGACGGUGCGAAGGCGAUAGUCCAUGUAUCGCUAAUAAAGAAGUACUCCCCGUCUUCGGUGGACGACUUGGCCAAAAAAAAGAUGGUGUAUUGGUGCAGCACAUCAAGCCAGGAGGCGAAGCACAGCGACGAGGAUUUUUACAUGGCUGACGUUGUGGAGCUUGGCCUGACAAAAGGAGACCUCAUUCGAAGGCUCGUGAGGAGAAAAAUCGCAAUUCCGGAUUUUAUUUUUGAUGGCGACACAUCUGAAGCACCUCGUUUGGUGACACAUGUGCCAUCGGCGAAAAAGACUGCGCAAUAUACGAAGGCUGCGCAUCAGCGCAAAAUGGCAGGGAUGCUUUCGGACCGGGCCACCAGCUCCGAUGACGAUGCCGAUGACGACGUUGUGCCGAAAAAAUUGCUCAUUGAAGAGCAAAAAAAAAUGCAACACUCUGCCGCAAACUGGCAAUUCUAAGAAGAGAGAAAGACGAGCUGCAGGCACGGCAUGAUCGCCUAGAGGAUAACCUUCUCAACAGACUCGAAUCCUUGCUUACAACAAAUUGCCGUCAGUGUUGCAAGGAGAACACUGUGCCUACAAGCUUUGUACGUAAAGAUAGUGCUCCAAGGGAGGACAGCUUCAGAAUGGGCCACAUCAGUCCACGCAUCACAUCAGUCGGACCAGAUCAA